rnacentral:lncRNA from 1 species
GGGAUCAACAAGCUGACUCUUCUAACCCAAUACCGACACGGCGAGGGGAACCAAGAAGGCCGAGGGUCCUAACAGUGGCAGCCAACAACCACGCUUGGUAAUGCCAGCGAGUGCCCACUGAAUAAUGUCAGUAGUCUAUUAGUUCUUCCACCUCAAGGGAAUCUACUGCCACAUGCAAUCAUGUAAAUGAAGAAUCGCGGAUAGUUUGACAACCUUGGGGUGAUCAAGGAAAAUCAGAUCUCUUGCUUGGCUACGAACAGGAGGCUGCUAGAAAGUGUCCUAAUCAUCUGAAAUGCUGUACAACCA